rnacentral:misc_RNA from 1 species
GAUGAAGAACGCAGCGUAAUGCGAUAAGUAAUGUGAAUUGCAGAAUUCAGUGAAUCAUCGAAUCUUUGAACGCACAUUGCGCCCGCCAGUAUUCUGGCGGGCAUGCCUGUUCGAGCGUCAUUUCAACCAUCAAGCCCCAGGCUUGUGUUGGAGCCCUGCGGCUGCCGCAGCCUCCCAAAACCAGUGGCGGGCUCGCUAUCACACCGAGUGCAGUAGUUUACUCUUCGCUCAGGGCGUGUGGCGGGUGCUAGCCGUAAAACCCCCAACUUCUCAAGGUUGACCUCGGAUCAGGUAGGAAUACCCGCUGAACUUAAGCAUAUCAAUAAGCGGAGGA